AACGAUCCCUUUAACAGUAUUAACAAGACGCAGUUCAGACAUUCUUCGCUGUUGUUCAUGCCGUUGUUGUUUUCUACUGAGUGCGUUCAUAUACAAAACCACUCAUAUUAAGCUACACUCCAAACUACUCUGUACAACUCUGGCAUACUCUCUGCUGCCUGUACUACAAUCAUUCACUCAACCAAAUUCAAGAACUGUAAAUCCUUUACAAGUCUGAAACCAUUAAAGUGUACUUCGUCUCUGA